rnacentral:snRNA from 1 species
CGGGGUAAAGCCAGAGGA